rnacentral:lncRNA from 1 species
AGAGAAAAUGGAAUCUUCAUCAUCAAAAUAUUUCCUCAUUUUACUAGCCAUUUUUUACCACAUAAACUCAAGCUCAGCAUCCAGAAAUGUCCCCUCUAAAAUUACAGCUAGCACUGAGUUCAUCAAAACAUCUUGCAGUUCAACAACCUAUCCAACACUUUGCUAUAAAUCCCUUGCUAGACAUGCAAGCUUAAUCCAAACAAGCCCUAAGCUCCUCGCCCAUGCAUCCCUCAACGUGACCCUUGCAAUGGCUAAAUCAACGUCAGCCGUCAUGUUAAAGAUAUCGAAAAGCCUUGGAAUGAAGCCUAGAGAGGCGGAAGCCAUGCAAGAUUGUUUGGAGGAGCUGAGUGAUUCAGUUGAUGAACUCAGAAAGUCUAUUGGCGAAAUGGGUCUGAUCAAAGCUUCUAACUUUGAACUCACAAUGAAUGAUAUACAGACUUGGGUUAGUGCUGCUUUGACUGAUGAGACUACUUGCAGCGAUGGAUUUGAAAAAAAUACGGUUAAUGGGAAAGUCGUGAGAGGCCAGAUUGUGAAGAUUGCCCAUAUGACUAGCAAUGCCUUGGCUUUGAUCAAUAGUUAUGCUUCGCUUCAUGCUUAAUUAGAAACUGUGAUGAUGAUGAGCUUCAGCAUUAAUGUUAACUCACAUAUGUGUAUAUUGUUAAUCUUUUGUCGGGAAAUAAAAUUCUAUUUAAUAUUGGUCAUGUAUCUUUAAUAUAUUCCUACUGUAAGACAAAAUGAGAACUGGAAAGAGAUAUGUUGAAAUGAGUGGUGGUAUGUAGAAGAUGGAUGUUUGUAUUGAGCUCGCUCUAUUGUAACUUAUUAAAUUAUUUGGUAAACAUUAGUUAUUGCGGUUUAGAAAGUAAAUUGAUUUGAUCUCAUAAUUUCAUAAUGAAAAAAAUUAUAAAAUCUUUAAUUUAAAAAAAAAUUAUAUUUACAAUAUAUUUUCAACUUUUAUUUUAUAAUUAUAAUUUUUUUCCACAAUAAUUAUCACUUGAAAACUCCAACACUUUAGUAACAAACAAGGCCUAAGUAAAGUUGUAAAUGUUAACUUGGUAGAUGCAAACAUACUAUGAUAAUUAGCUUUCAGUUGAAUCCAAGAGAAUAUCACGUGGGCACAGAGGAAAAAUUGGACAAACAAGAAGCUAUGAACCAAGCGAAAAUUGCUCCACCAAAUUAGUGACAGACGAUGAUAUGGAGGCCCUAAAAAAAUGUCACAUCAAUCUAAAAUUUUAUACAUUACCUUGAAUUCAUGACGAAUUUCCUCAAGAACUUAUGAGUUUCUCUUUUAUUCUUGAAAUUGAUUGGGCCGAAUGAAAGAUGUGACCUGAUAUGAGGGUGAAUCAUUUCAUGGUGGUACACUAACAAAGUGAGAUUUAUAUAAUUAGCGGGUAUAUGUCAUCCAACAAAUCUAAGGAUGUUUGCUUUAUUCCGUUAUUUUGUUAAGUGAGGCUAUUUCGAAUGCUGAACAAUUAAGCAGGCAAACGAAUCAAUAGUUGCAAACUCUUAUUUUAGAAAAAGAUUAUUUGCACACUGCUUAAGCAAUGAAAUUAUGGGCAUUAUUAUGGUCCCAUGGUCAGAGCCUCCUUUCUUCCUUCGGUCUCACUGGUUAAAUCAAGUCACUAAUCACUAUUAUGUUGAUAAGUCAUUUUAAAAUAUUUAUCUUUUGCGACCGGCUUAGUAUUUUAAGUCUACAUAUUAAUAGAUUGUUAUUCUCGCUAGGGAUGACAAUGGGGAGGGGAGGGGAGGGGACCAAUCUCCCCGUCUCCAUCUCCGAUAUUUUGCGUAUGUCCCCGUCCCGUCCCCAUCCCCGUCAAAAUUAUUUAAGAGAAUCCUCAUCCCCUCCUUGAAUAAUAACAUGGGAUCCCCGAGGGUCCCCGAUCCCCAAAUAACUAAUACAUUUUUUUGUUUUCGAUUUUGAGUUAAUCAUAUUAAAAUAAAAAAUUCAAAUAAAAGUAAAGUUCGAAAUAUAUCUUACAUUAAUAUCCAUUACAAAAGUCACAUACAUUAAAUUAGUAAGUAACGCAGCAUGCAAGAGAUAAAAACUAUUAUGAACAAAUUAAUAGCCUAAUACAAAAUUGUUAAAAAAUAAAUCAAAUUUAGAUUCAAAAUUAACUUUUCAAUGGUGGCAUGGGCACUUUAUAAAUGUGGACUAUUUCUUUUACAACACAUUAGUUAAGUCGAAGCAAAUCAAGAGCAAAUAGUAGAUUUGAUUAAAUAUUAAAAUUGUGAUUUGUUGUGGGCAAUUAUAACAUCUAAAGUAAAAAAAUUUCACCGUCCCCUUCCCCGAAUAAGAAAUUGGGUAUGAAAUUAUCCUCAUACCCUCCCCGAAUGGGGAAAAUCCCCGAGGGUACCCGUCUCCCUGGGGAUUUUUGUCAUCCCUAAUUCUCGCCGAUAUAAGUACAGAGGGUGUCAGUUGGCUCAACGGUUUAAAUUUAUUAAGGCGUUGAAAUAAAAAAUUUGCUUCUCAAACUCUUGCUCAUAUAGGUAGAGGGCAGAUUUAGAUUUUAGCUAACUUACUGAUCAAACUCGCUUUUACGCUUUCGUGUUUCGGACUAGUAGUGAAAGCCUCGUUUUUCUUAUCCUUUUUAUUUCUUGGUGUAGAUUAACUGAUUCAGACUCAUUAUCAUGGUUUUGGGUUUGAUUGUUAAUCAUUUAAGUUCAUGUUAUAGAUGACAAUAAGCCUAACUUAUACUUAAAAAUUGAGAGAUGUUUGCUUAUAUUCUUAACCCAAUAACUAAUCUUAAAUUAUGUGGGUAUUUUCCCAAACUAUCAUCCUCCCCACAUGCAAAUUGGUGUUUUCCAUAGCCAUUAUCAUGCAAAAAGAGAAUGUAUGCUCAUUUGUGCAUUGAAUUUAUUGGAUGUCAAAUUUAUAUCAUAUAAACAGGGGUAUUGAAAAUUAUUGGAUUUCAUCUAAAAGUGUUAGAUUAUAUAAGUUAUAAAACUAAAUAUCUAAAUUAUUGCGGCACAAUACAUAACAAAUGUUUUUGUAAGAAUUUAGUAAAUUUAUGUUAUAGGAGUAAAAUAGUCAAAUUAAACUUAUGUUAAAGCAAACUGAUUGGUCUAUAAAGAGAUCUAAGUCAAUACAAAAAAAAAAUCCAAAAAAUUUUCAUUAUUUCAAUUAUUUAAAAAUAAUGUGAAUUUUUGUAUAGUUAUUUUUUUAAUCUAAAAUACGAAAAUUGUGGGAGUGUCCCCCACGCCGUUCCUUUCCUUAAGAUAGUGGCACUUUGGUCCCAAGCCCAGCAUCAUGCAAUCUUUAUUAGGGAUGGCAAUUUUUCCCGAUGGGAUGGGAUCCCGCAGGAUCCCAUCUCUUUUGAGACGAGAUUGAGAUAUAUUUUUGUCCCAAAAAAAAAUAUAAAGACGGGACUGAGACGUUUUUUCAUCCCAUUUGCAUAUACGGGAUGGGACUAGGAUUGGUAAAUCCCAUCCCAUCUCGUCCCAUUGCCAACCCUAAUCUUUAUCAUGCAAAUUGAAACUAGUGGGCUCCGAGAUGUGGCUAAGACAGACCCUACGCAGCUAAAGCAGCUAAAUUUUGAAAUCCAAAUGCACUGCAUUUCUUCAGCUUUCCAUUCCUUUCUUUGGGGCAAACGUGAGGCCAAUUUCCUCAACUUGUUUUGCAAUUUGAGAGUUUAAGGAUAGAAUCGAAUUAUAUUAUUUCCUGUAGGUACACUCACACAACUUGUUAAGAGAUUUUUUCUUAGAAUAUAUCUCCAAAUUUAAUUAAGUUUCCUUGGUCAGUAGCAGUAGCCCGUAGGCCAAAGUUGAAACUAGAGGUGGCAAAAAUACCCGUCCGGUCCGGACCCGGACCGUACCCGGGCGUUAAUACCCGGUCCGGGUAUGAAGCCGAGUCGAUAUUGGGUAUCACUUGAUAAAUCCGGAACCCGGAUUUUAUUAAAAAAAUAUUAUAAAAUAUAUAUUAUUUUAAAUAUUUAUAUUUAUUUGACUCAUUUAUUAUACAUAUAUAAAGUUUUAAACACUUAAAGUUUAUAUUUUCAUGUCAAAUUUUAUUGAAAUAAAUUUAAAACUUAUAAAAUUACCAAAAAAAUAAAAAAUAUAUACACAUAUAAUAUUAAAAAAUAUAAAUUCGGGUACCCGGAUUAAAACCCGGCCCGGACCCAAUCCGGGACCAGUUGCAUCCAGGUAGGGUCUGGUCAUUGCAAUACCCGGCCCGAGGUUUUGCCAUCCCUAGUUGAAACCUUUCCCUCAACUUGGUCAUUUUGUGGGCUCCCAGAUUCAAGCAUGCGGUUCAGUUUUGAAUACCAAUAUGUUGUUCCUAUCUUUCAAAAAGCAUUGGAUUUAAUUUCGCCUUAACUUCAUCUGCACAAUUUGAGAGUUAAGGACGGGAUCAAUUAUUGAUUGUGCUCAGAUAUUUUUGGAAUUGGCUUCCCGCCUUCCUUUUGGUCCCGCUGUCGACAUUCUAAAAGCAAAAUGAGUAGUAAUAACCCAACAGUUGCACAUAAACUCUAGAAUCUGUUGAGCGUUACACGUUCCAAUAAUAAAGAAAGAAAGUGUGAGCACGGAAGUGCACUAGAUCGGUUAAAUCAAAUUUUGAUACAUAAAUCUAUUUAAUUAAUCACAAUAAUCGAUCAAAACAGAUCAAAUCAGAUACAAAUAUCUCCUGCCAAAAACAAAUUUAUUAUCGCUUGGUUCUUUAAUUUUCUUUAUUCAGAGAUUGAUAUUUCUCCUUUUAACUACUUACUCUUUACAAUUUUCAGAAUAGUCGAUUGACCAUUCACUGCCGAAAUUUUGUAGCUGGAAUGGGUUUAUUUGCAAAAGUUCUAGCAUAAGAGAGCAAAGGACUGUCAUGAAUUUAACCAGUUAACCACCUGCUACUGUAAUGGAGAAACCGAGAUUAUGAGAGGAGCUUACUCCGUUAAUUUCAAGAUGAAUUUUGUUCAAAUUCACCACUCGCCUCGAUUAGAAUCUAAAAUAGCUUUGAAGGAUUAGUACAUUGUUCUUGAACGUAGCUGCCAGUUGUCAACUUUGGGUCCCAUUGAUAUUCUUGACUGUAGCACUUUUGCCCUAUAAAAUGGACACCCUUUCCUUUCCGUUUCAUCACAUAACUCAAUCCUCACUUCAUUUGCUCAUAAUUUCAAAGGUCAGAGAGAGAGACAUGGAAGGUUCAUCCUCAAAUCAUAUGCUUAAAUACUUUCUCAUUUUACUAGCCAUUUUUUCCUACUUAAAUUCAAGCUCAGCCUCUAGACAUGGCCCCUCUAAAAUUGCUGCUGACAGAAGGUUCAUCAAAACAUCUUGCAGUUCAACAACUUAUCCAACACUUUGCUAUAAAUCCCUUGCUAGACAUGCAAGCUUAAUCCAAACAAGCCCUAAGCUCCUCGCCCAUGCAUCCCUCAACGUGACCCUUGCAAUGGCUAAAUCAACGUCAGCCGUCAUGUUAAAGAUGUCGAAAAGCCCUGGAAUGAAGCCUAGAGAGGUGGAUGCCAUGCAAGAUUGUUUGGAGGAGCUGAGUGAUUCAGUUGAUGAGCUCAGAAAGUCCAUUGGCGAAAUGGGUCUGAUCAAAGCUUCAAAUUUUGAACUUACAAUGAGUGAUAUACAGACUUGGGUUAGUGCUGCUUUGACUGAUGAGACUACUUGCAGCGAUGGAUUUGAGAAGAAUACGGUGAAUGGGAAAGUUGUGAGGGCCCAGAUUGUGAAGAUUGCUCAUAUGACUAGCAAUGCCUUGGCUUUGAUCAAUAGUUAUGCUUCUCUUCGCGGUUAGAUAUUCUCAUGAUUAGCUCCAUUAUUGUAAGUGAUUUAUGCAGUAUUAAUCCUGCCUGUGGAGAUCAGAUUUAUGAAAAUGUAAUCUUUAUUGCAAGCAAAUAGCAGAUCCAGAAAAAAAAAGUUGGAUUUAUCUAUUUUCCUUUUCUGUUAGGGAUGUCGAAGAAGCGUUGGCAAAUGGCUUUGUAAAUGUAAAUUUGUACUAUAUAGUAAUUAAAUAUAAAUUUGAACUUGUUAGCUAGUUGCAUGGUCUGUUUGAUUAGAGGUUAGGUUAUGAUCACAUGUGCACAGAGAAAAAUUGGACAAACAAAAAACUAUCAACCAAACCACAACUGCUCUUACCUUGUAGUUAGUUGGGCUGUGCAAGCAAAUACUAGGAAAUUUUUCGUGAUCGCCGAGAAUAUUUAUCAUUUAGUAGGUAGUGUAACAAAUCUAAGGAAUAUUUGGCUUUAUUCUAUCAUUUUGGUUAGUGUGUGAAUUUCAAUCUACAUUUCAAAUUGCUCAAAAGCAUAUGGUGCCAGUUGCA